GAUGGAGGGAGUCGCCUGCGCCAGUCAGCUACCGUCCAAUGCGCUCACCGGGUUGCCAUUCCUCGGGGCCAACCCCUCCCCUCGCUUUGGAUCACGCAUCGGCUUGGAGGCCCCUCUGGGGUGCCGCCGGUGCAGGAGAUGUUCGUGGCCGUGCGGGCUGGGGACCAAGCGAUGGGGCUCGUGGUGCGUCCAGGUCGAGGGCUUGCUCGGCUGGCACGGGUUUUGAGCCCCGUCGAUGGAUUUCUCGAAGCUUGGCUGCAUUUUGUUUUGGAUUUAGUAUGACCCGCAUCUCUCCCCCCCUCUCUCUCAUGUUGCGGCCGAAAUCACUGUUUUGACUUAUUUGAAAAAAUUCAGCUCAAAAUGAACCAUCUUGGAAACUUAUCUGGGUUAAAGAUGAGAAAACAUGGCGAACAUAAACUUGUCUUUGAUUAUUCAUGGAACUGUGGGCAUCAAGAACCUACUCCCUCCUCUUUUGGGACCUUUUCAUUCUCAUUGAAUAUUGAAAGCUCUGUCUUGGACGGUCACUCUUUGAGUGAUAAUGAGAGGAGCUCGACUUCAGUAGUGGGGAUUGAUCUGGUGCAAGAAGACGGUGGAGCUAGGUUGUAUGAUAUAUCAAAGGCGAAUCCGAGCCCUCUCAAAUCUCAAUGCAACUAAUAUUGUGGCCUCUACACAUUUAUUUAUUCCUAUCCCCUUUUUAUGUUCAAAAGUGAUGAACUGUCGUGGUUGUGGAAUUUGUUAUCUCAUUAGGAGCAGCUACGCACAGAUCACCUCUCAUGGUGUUUGGUUUGCCUUCUCAUGAUUUUAUUGCCCAUGGUGGGAACCAGUUUGGUGCAUUCAAACUUUUUCUUUUUUACUUUUCCUUGAAUGGCUAUGAUAAUUCAGUUGUCCCUUGGAUAGUUUAUUUUAGGUUCUCUUAUCGGGUUCGGGGUCAGUUUGCUUAUUUCAAUUGUUAUUUGACUUUGAUAAUCUCUUUCUUCUACUAUACUAUUUAUCUACUUAUCAGUUUGUACUUUUGGUUACUCUCCACUUCUUUACUGGUUUCAACUUAAGGGUUAUAUAAAUCAAGUUCAGAUGUCAACAUAAUGGUUUCCUUCCUAUCAUGUUCAUGAAUGGCUCUGGUGAUAUAGCUUCCCUGCGUCGAUCUGACAUUUGUUUGGAUUUUGAAUCUUGAACAUUUAGGAGGUUGUUCUGAAUUGUUUCACUCUGUAGUGGCAGAAUUCAUGUUUCAUUUAUUGCAGGAGAUGAAAUUGAGAGGCUGAUGUAAAUUCGUUUGUUUGUAGAUUUUCUCAGUUCUAGGAUUGGAUGUUUCUGCAGUCUCUCUGUCCCUCCUGGAGGUUAGCCGAUUGAUGGAUUUGGCUGCUGAUCCCUUUGUGUUGCCUAAGUGGUGAGAUGGAAAUAAGGAUUAAACAUGACCCUGAUGCUGGGGCAAUAUUCCAAUAUGAUUAGAGGGGUAGUGUACUCCCAAAGAUGAUUUAGAAUAUGAAAAACGUUUCAUACGUAGUCAAGAAUUUGGGUUCAUGGUUGAAGUAACAAAUACACAUGUAGCUUCUAGAUUCUGUCAUUUACAAUUCUUUUUCGAUGGUAUAUUUACAACCUUUGUUGUUACAUAUAGUUUGUUUCUUAAAUAUCCUAUAAGCAUAUAUUAUUGAAUAGACUCACUUUCCUAUUUUUGUGAUAAAAUGGAAUGAAUAAUGUACAUGUUAAGGACUUUAUUUUGAUUUGGUUAUGAUUUGAGAAUGCUCACAUAUAUUUUCUGUGCUGCAUCACCCCAUUGUUCUGUGAUAGUGUCCAACUAGGGAUUUGAAUGUCAGGACCUAGCUAGUACUACGAUGUUAUCAGGUUAAUAAAUACUACUAUCUUGCUACUAGGUUCUAUGAGUAUGGCUAGGGUGAAUCUUUCCACUUUGCUCAUAGGCACCAAGAGAAUAAAUAAUUGAUCUUUCAUUCUUCAUGAAAAUAUGUCAUUUCGUUUUUAAAGAAAAAUUAUAUGAAAAAUUGUAGUAGAACACUGCUAAUUGCAAUUCCCCAUGUGUCUUGGCAUUUUAAGUGGAAUGGGAAUCUUUAAGAUGAAGUAUCAAGCGGCACGAGCACCUAUGGUUGAAUGAUGUGUUGAUAGUGUACCUAAUCCACCUGUGUUGACAAUGCAUAUAAUUUUUAAACUCAAGAUCAUAUUGUCAGCUGCAAUCUCUGUUCCCUUUUAAACUCAAGAUUUCUAAACAAGAGUAUAUACAUUGUGAACCAAAGAUAGUUCAGUAUUCAGUUUAGUUCUGCAAUUUGUUCUAUUAGACAAAUCACUAUUGUGUUGAAACCUUGUUGUGGUGUGCUGAAUCGUUUCUUUAUAUUUCUACCUGCCAGUUCUAAGCACAUAUUCUUUUCUUCUUAUUUUGUAUCUAUACAUAAGAACUCUAUUUUUCUUAUCCUUGCAGUUAUGCAUGACAUGUUGCUUAUCCACGUGGAUCUUAAGGUUUCCUCAUGCAAAUAUGUAGUGAAAGCGGUUUGAGAAAAGAAGCAAAUCGUUUGAGCCAACCUAUUUAUAUGAUGUGGAGAAUAUAAGGUUCUUGGCUUAUUGAUAUCAUCUGGUCAUUUUUAUAGGUGCCUAACUACUUAAUGAACUUUCUAGUUGUGUUGAUGACGACAAGAAGAAAAGCAUCUUUGACCAGGUUUUCCGACUUAAUUCAAGCUAUCCUGGUGGACUACCAUCACACAUCCAGAAUGCCAAAAGGCUUUUGGUAGAUUGCAACACGGGAUAAAAUCCAUAUGAUGGUUCCACACCUUCGAGAACUCGGCGUUCAGACCUCGUUGGCGCCGGCUAGAUGGGCUUGUUGGUAUUUUAUAGUUUGGUCAUAAGCAGAUUUGUUAUCUUCAAGUAAAGCUAAAUGCAGCUGAUGUUUUACAGAUUGAUAUAUACCCUAUGUAACGAAGAAGUGGGUGUUUCUAUGGAUGGAUCUGGUUUAAUGUAUGCAUAUAUAUCACACUUGAGGUCAGUUGUGUUUUCUCAGGUUUACAUAGGAAUUAAAAUUGUUUUCAGAAGCAAAAAUCUUGAAUUGGAAAUGAAACCCUUGAUGAAUUGAUGUUUGCUGAAGAAAGUCCUUGUAGAAAAGAAGAACAUGAAGCAUGUUUUCUAUUUGUACAAGUAUUUCCUUUUGUUCCUAAUUGUUGUCUAUUUCGUAUGGAAGCUUUGAAACAAAAUGAGGUGGCCUAAAAUUAAGGAUUAAUGCUUUUGAUAACUGAUUUGAGAAAACAGAUCCAUGCAAUAUAAGUAGAAGGUAGACUGAAGCAUUGAUCAUUGCUAUCCUGUACAUAGGCAGUCCAACCAAUUGCUGUGAGAGGAAUGAAGGCGACACCCAAGUUGGCAUGUGUGAAGCUUUGAUGGAGCCAUUCCUGCUCUUCCAGAGCCACAAGGAGAGCCUAAUAGUCAGGGCAGAAGUGUGCCUGGCUGUCAUACGAGAAGAAGUGUGCACAACUGAGGAGCUAGGGCGCCAAUGGUGCGGAGCCGUUCGCCAUCAAGAGGAUCAAGGCUGCCAUCAGGGACCUCCGGAUCAAGCUCACAUCUCCCUCGCCUCCGUCAACGCUUUGUGCCAGAGGGUCAUUGCUGUCCAUGAUGAGCCCGCAGCUCGCAAAGCUCAUCCAAAUGCUGGCAAGGAUGUGGCGACUCAUCGCCGGCAUGCACCGAGUGAUGUAGUGCAUGGAGCAGGAGGUGAGCGUGCUCCUCGUCGUCAGCCGCAUGGUUGGAGGGAGGCAUCAAGGGCUUGUUGCUGCCGGGGAGGACAUGUGCACAAUUUAUAUUGAUGUAUCUUAUUUUGCCAAACAACAAGAUGUGCUCCUGUUGAUGCUAUUAACCUGGCAUGGAAUUUCAGUUUCUUUCACAUGAUGUGUCAAUAGAUAUAUAGAGAUCUAGAUGAGUUGCAUUUUUGGUGGUUCCUUCUAUUAUAAAUGUCAGUUUUUUAUAGCAACAUCACAUGUACACAAAACACACUACUUAGUAUAUAUAGGACAGUGGGAGGGCGCAUCUUA